AACGAACGCUGGCGGCAUGCCUAACACAUGCAAGUCGAACGAAGGCUUCGGCCUUAGUGGCGCACGGGUGCGUAACGCGUGGGAAUCUGCCCCUCGGUUCGGAAUAACAGUUAGAAAUGACUGCUAAUACCGGGUGAUGACUUCGGUCCAAAGAUUUAUCGCCGAGGGAUGAGCCCGCGUAAGAUUAGGUAGUUGGUGGGGUAAAGGCCUACCAAGCCGACGAUCUUUAGCUGGUCUGAGAGGAUGAUCAGCCACACUGGGACUGAGACACGGCCCAGACUCCUACGGGAGGCAGCAGUGGGGAAUAUUGGACAAUGGGCGAAAGCCUGAUCCAGCAAUGCCGCGUGAGUGAUGAAGGCCUUAGGGUUGCAAAGCUCUUUUACCAGGGAUGAUAAUGACAGUACCUGGAGAAUAAGCUCCGGCUAACUCCGUGCCAGCCGCCGCAGUAA
rnacentral:rRNA from 1 species